GACGAACGCUGGCGGCGUGCUUAACACAUGCAAGUCGAACGGAAAGGCCCUGCUUGCAGGGUACUCGAGUGGCGAACGGGUGAGUAACACGUGGGUGAUCUGCCCUGCACUUCGGGAUAAGCCUGGGAAACUGGGUCUAAUACCGGAUAGGAGCCAUUUUUAGUGUGAUGGUUGGAAAGUUUUUUCGGUGUUGGAUGAGCUGGCGGCCUAUCAGCUUGUUGGUGGGGUAAUGGCCUACCAAGGCGGCGACGGGUAGCCGGCCUGAGAGGGUGGACGGCCACAUUGGGACUGAGAUACGGCCCAGACGCCUACGGGAGGCAGCAGUGGGGAAUAUUGCACAAUGGGCGCAAGCCUGAUGCAGCGACGCCGCGGGGGGGAUGACGGCCUUCGGGUUGUAAACUCCUUUCGCUAGGGACGAAGCUUUUUGUGACGGUACCUAGAGAAGAAGCACCGGCUAACUACGUG
rnacentral:rRNA from 1 species